AGCAGCCGCGGUAAUUCCAGCUCCAAUAGCGUAUAUUAAAGUUGUUGCAGUUAAAAAGCUCGUAGUUGAAUUUUAGGCCUGGCCGGACGGUCCGUCUCUGGCGAGUACUGUUCUGUCGUCGGGUCUAUCCUUCUGGUGAGCCGGUAUGUUCUUAAUUGGGCGUGUCGGGGAACCAGGACCAUUACCUUGAAAAAUUAGAGUGUUUAAAGCAGGCUUUUGCUUGAAUAGAUUAGCAUGGAAUAAUAGAAUAGGACGCUGUGGUUCUAUUUUGUUGGUUCUAGGACCACCGUAAUGAUUAAUAGGGAUAGUUGGGGGCAUUAGUAUUCAAUUGUCAGAGGUGAAAUUCUUGGAUUUAUUGAAGACUAACUACUGCGAAAGCAUUUGCCAAGGAUGUUUUCAUUAAUCAAGAACGAAAGUUAGGGGAUCGAAGACGAUCAGAUACCGUCGUAG
rnacentral:rRNA from 1 species